ensembl:miRNA
UGCUCUGGAUUAGGCUUUGGCUUAAGGGAAUAUUGUGGCUGGUCUGAUCUUCUAUCCAGAUCACUCAAACUUUCUCCCUAUCAGC